AUUGAACGCUCGCGGCAGGCCUAACACAUGCAAGUCGAGCGGCAGCGGGAAAGUAGCUUGCUACUUUUGCCGGCGAGCGGCGGACGGGUGAGUAAUGCCUGGGGAUCUGCCCAGUCGAGGGGGAUAACUACUGGAAACGGUAGCUAAUACCGCAUACGCCCUACGGGGGAAAGCAGGGGACCUUCGGGCCUUGCGCGAUUGGAUGAACCCAGGUGGGAUUAGCUAGUUGGUGAGGUAAUGGCUCACCAAGGCGACGAUCCCUAGCUGGUCUGGGAGGAGGAUCAGCCACACUGGAGCUGAGACGCGGUCCAGACUCCUACGGGAGGCAGCAGUGGGGAAUAUUGCACAAUGGGGGAAACCCUGAUGCAGCCAUGCCGCGUGUGUGAAGAAGGCCUUCGGGUUGUAAAGCACUUUCAGCGAGGAGGAAAGGUUGGUAGCUAAUAACUGCCAGCUGUGACGUUACUCGCAGAAGAAGCACCGGCUAACUCCGUGCCAGCAGCCGCAGUAAUAC
rnacentral:rRNA from 1 species